CCAUGGUAUACUUAGUACGGCGAGUGAAGCGGUAAAAGCUCAAAUUUGAAAUCUGGUACUUUCAGUGCCCGAGUUGUAAUUUGUAGAAUUUGUCUUUGAUUAGGUCCUUGUCUAUGUUCCUUGGAACAGGACGUCAUAGAGGGUGAGAAUCCCGUUUGGCGAGGAUACCUUUUCUCUGUAAGACUUUUUCGAAGAGUCGAGUUGUUUGGGAAUGCAGCUCAAAGUGGGUGGUAAAUUCCAUCUAAAGCUAAAUAUUGGCGAGAGACCGAUAGCGAACAAGUACAGUGAUGGAAAGAUGAAAAGAACUUUGAAAAGAGAGUGAAAAAGUACGUGAAAUUGUUGAAAGGGAAGGGCAUUUGAUCAGACAUGGUGUUUUUUGCAUGCACUCGCCUCUCGUGGGCUUGGGCCUCUCAAAAAUUUCACUGGGCCAACAUCAAUUCUGGCAGCAGGAUAAAUCAUUAAGAAUGUAGCUACUUCGGUAGUGUUAUAGCUUUUUGGAAUACUGUUAGCCGGGAUUGAGGACUGCGCUUCGGCAAGGAUGUUGGCAUAAUGGUUAAAUGCCGCCCGUCUUGACCCCCGGAACCA
rnacentral:rRNA from 1 species